CCUACGGGUGGCAGCAGUGGGGGAUAUUGCACAAUGGGGGAAACCCUGAUGCAGCAACGCCGCGUGUGGGAAGAAGGUUUUCGGAUUGUAAACCACUGUUCUUGGUGAAGAUAAUGACGGUAACCAAGGAGAAAGCUCCGGCUAACUACGUGCCAGCAGCCGCGGUAAUACGUAGGGAGCAAGCGUUGUCCGGAUUUAUUGGGUUUAAAGGGUGCGCAGGCGGGCUGUUAAGCCGGCGGUAAAAAUUCAGGGCUCAACCUUGUCGAGCCGUCGGAACUGGCAGUCUUGAGUGGGCGAGAAGUAUGCGGAAUGCGUGGUGUAGCGGUGAAAUGCAUAGAUAUCACGCAGAACGCCGAUUGCGAAGGCAGCAUACCGGCGCCCAACUGACGCUGAGGCACGAAAGCGUGGGGAUCGAACAGGAUUAGAUACCCGAGUAGUC
rnacentral:rRNA from 1 species